rnacentral:rRNA from 1 species
CAGUCGCCACGGUAAUACGGAGGAUCCAAGCGUUAUCCGGAAUCAUUGGGUUUAAAGGGUCCGUAGGCGGUCUUGUAAGUCAGUGGUGAAAGCCCAUCGCUCAACGGUGGAACGGCCAUUGAUACUGCAGGACUUGAAUUAUUGGGAAGUAACUAGAAUAUGUAGUGUAGCGGUGAAAUGCUUAGAGAUUACAUGGAAUACCAAUUGCGAAGGCAGGUUACUACCAAUUGAUUGACGCUGAUGGACGAAAGCGUGGGUAGCGAACAGGAUUAGAUACCCGCGUAGUCCCUGUCUCUUAUAC